UACGGAGGGUGCAAGCGUUAUCCGGAUUUACUGGGUUUAAAGGGUGUGUAGGCGGACUAUUAAGUCAGGGGUGAAAUCCCGAGGCUCAACCUCGGAACUACCUUUGAUACUAUUAGUCUUGAAUGUUGUUGAGGUGGGCGGAACGGGUCAUGUAGCGGUGAAAUGCAUAGAUAUGACCCGGAACACCGAUUGCGAAGGCAGCCCGCUAAGCAACUAUUGACGCUGAGGCACGAAAGCGUGGGGAUCAAACAGG
rnacentral:rRNA from 1 species